UUACGGUCACAUCUCUUUUAAAACACCUGUUCCCGUACGAUGACCUAAGUUAAGCAACGUCGAGCCUGGUCAAUACCUAGUUGUGUGACCGCUUGGGAAUACCAGGUCUUGUAAG